AAAUGGUAUUAGUGCAUGUGGCCGGGAAGAAAUUUCAAAGGCGUACACAUCAUCAAAGAGAGUCGAUCACGUUUGUCGAAACAUGAUCCCACGGGUAGGCCCCCAAAAAACAAACCCGUUUAUAUGGUUGGGAUUCCGCGUCUGCUUUAGCCUCUUCACACGAGCUCAUUUCACACCUGUUUCUUGUGACAGCCAGCUAUUUGAAGCCUGGAGGAGUACGUCUCUGCUUCUCUAUCCAUGGUAGGUCCCUUCCUCCUGCCAAUAGUUUGGCGGCAACUGGCUAAAUGUGACCGUUUCUAGGAGGUGCCGGACGUCUGGCACUGAAUAGAUUGAUGGACAGGUUAGUGAAAGCAAAAGCGAGUAGAUUUUAGUAUACAUACUCUCGAGAAUGGAUUAGAGAGUUCCUGAAUUUGCUCGAGUGUUGGAAAAGCGACGCUCUUUAGGUGACGUGGCGACGGUCGCCGAAAGGACGUGUCACGUCAUUGUGAAGCGUCGCAGCCUCGCUGCCCCCGUAAGUAAUUCAAAAUGUUCGAAUGACGAAUCAGGGAAUUACAAAAGUAUCCCCCGUAUUAAGUUAAUGUCCUUUUCCGUCCCUACAUUUCAGCUUCGGUCCUUGUUAGUUUAAUUAAAGGCGGCCGCUGGGCCUUAGUGAAAUUAUCACCUCAAUGUUUUUUUUUUUCUAAGGAAAAAGGAUAUUAAAAUUUAUGAAAGCAUCCCUUUAAAAAUGUGAAAGAUUUAAGUUGUUCUCUGAUUAUGAUCACUGAUUAGAAAAAAUGCUGGAAAUGGGUUCAAUUCUAGCAUAAUUUGCU
rnacentral:lncRNA from 1 species